UACGAAGGGGGCUAGCGUUGCUCGGAAUCACUGGGCGUAAAGCGCACGUAGGCGGACUCUUAAGUCAGGGGUGAAAUCCUGGAGCUCAACUCCAGAACUGCCUUUGAUACUGGGAGUCUUGAGUUCGGGAGAGGUGAGUGGAACUGCGAGUGUAGAGGUGAAAUUCGUAGAUAUGACACAGAACACCAAUUGCGUAGGCAGCUCGCUAAACUCUUACUGACGCUGAGGCACGAAAGCAUGGGGAUCAAACAGG
rnacentral:rRNA from 1 species